CAGAGGGUGCAAGCGUUGUUCGGAAUUACUGGGCGUAAAGCGCGUGUAGGCGGUUUCGUAAGUCCUGUGUGAAAGCCCUGGGCUCAACCCAGGAAGUGCGCAGGAUACUGCGGGACUGGAGUGACGGAGAGGAUGGCGGAAUUCCCGGUGUAGAGGUGAAAUUCGUAGAUAUCGGGAGGAACACCUGUGGCGAAGGCGGCCAUCUGGACGUCAACUGACGCUGAGACGCGAAAGCAUGGGGAGCAAACAGGAUUAGAUACCCUGGUAGUCCAUGCCUUAAACGAUGGAUGCUAGAUGUCGCGGGUAUUGACCCCUGCGGUGUCGACGCUAACGCAUUAAGCAUCCCGCCUGGGGAGUACGGCCGCAAGGUUA
rnacentral:rRNA from 1 species